rnacentral:rRNA from 1 species
UGGGGAAUAUUGCACAAUGGAGGGAACUCUGAUGCAGCGACGCCGCGUGAGUGAUGAAGGAAUUCGUUUCGUAAAACUCUGUUCUAUGGGAAGAAAAGGACUGUACCAUAGGAGAAAGCUCCGGCUAAAUACGUGCCAGCAGCCGCGGUAAUACGUAUGGAGCGAGCGUUGUCCGGAAUUAUUGGGCGUAAAGGGUGCGCAGGCGGCUUUACAAGUUGGAUGUGAAAUAUUGUGGCUCAACCACAAACGUGCAUCCAAAACUGCAAAGCUUGAGUUAAGGAGAGGUAAGUGGAAUUCCUGGUGUAGCGGUGGAAUGCGUAGAUAUCAGGAGGAAUACCGGUGGCGAAGGCGACUUACGGGACUUGAACUGACGCUCAGGCACGAAAGCGUGGGGAGCAAACAGG